UACCACUUCCAAUCAAAAGGAGUAGAAGAGAUUAUGGAAAGGAACCAUUACGAGCACUAUGUAGUUAUCCUAAUCAUGUCAUGAAAACACGUUCAUCAAGGGAGAGGAAACCAAGUAAAUUCAAGGUCUCCCCGUUUGUACACAAUUUAAGGAAGAUGGUAAAACGUGAAGCAUCAGAGUGAGCUUCUUGUUGACUUUGGUCAUGAACAUGGAGUUCGU